rnacentral:rRNA from 1 species
GUGUAUGGUCAUGCCACCCUGAAUGUGCCCUAUCUAAUCUGAUCUUGGAAGCUAAGCAGGGUCGGGCGUGGUUAGUACUUGGAUGGGAGAAAUAAGAAUAAUAUGCCACUUUCCCUA